ACCUCCCCUGUCCGCCCAAGGCUCAACAACGAGAUCAUGUACAAUAAGUCCCCAGGAAAUUAACUUGAAUACAUACAUGAUCAUGCAACAACAGCGAGAGCACAAACAGUGCUGAACAUUACAAGAGCAAGCGUCACGAGUAGUAAACAUACAAGUGAAACAAAAGAGAGAUACUUAACUAUUCUAUUACAACCAUUCAACUUGAUACAUUUAAUUACAACUUAGCUUUCUUUAUCAAAAUAUGAAUAUAAGCUUACAUUCUUCCAAAGAUAAACAUUAGCUUUACAUUUAUCUCGAUACCUCACAUCCUAUACAUCAUCUACUCUCAAUACAUGUAUAGGGUAACUCUAAUGCAAAAUAGGAAAGUAAACUACCAACUAGCACUAGGGCACUAAGCCCAUACCGCGAUCCUCUGCCGAUCCGCUCUCGUGUGUACCUGUACCCCAAAACCACACGGGGUGAGAACUAUAUAAAUAUAGUUCCCAGUGGGUUCGGCCGCCGACUCCGCCGAUCUUCCCACUAGGUCUAAGCUGGCACAGAUAGAUAGAUAGAAAGAUA
rnacentral:lncRNA from 1 species